UCAAAGCCAAGGAUUGGCUUCUUAGAAGCCAAUGAGGUCACAUAGAAGAGUCAUAAGAGACAUAUACAAGUUUUCCAUGAAAUAAUAAUACAUCAUUGAAAGACGAUACCUUAUGAAGUGUACCGGUUUCCGCAUACCUAUGUAUUAAUACUUAUUAGUGACUUUUGAAUUGUUAUAACCAAAAAAAUUCCGCAUGCCAUCGUGAUUUAAUUUAACAGAAUUACUGUAAAGGAAAAACUGGACAAUAAAAGAUGGCAACUCUUCUUUAUUUCAAUUUACAAAGUUUUGUUUUGAAACAACAAUGAAGAAAGGUUGUAGGACUAAACCUGCACUGCCAGGUGGCACAAAUCCAGGGAUAUUGAGUCGAUAACGUUAAAGAGUCCCGAAACAACCUGUGUUAAGAAAAAAGGCAAGAAACUGAUGCAUGUUCUUUUCCAAGAAAUACACAGGAAAUGGAUCAAUUUUGGUUGGUCUUGACUGAGCGUUGUGAAUGCUUGUCAAUCAAGACAACACCAUAUAUGGACAAGAGGUGGAUAGGAGCGCGUAAAAGAGAAGAAAUAUGAACUAUAGACAUUGUCAUUGAAAAAUGCACCGACAAUCGUAUUUUGAGCUGUAAUCUGUAGUUAUUUUUAAAGGUUAAAAUUAAGAAUUUGGAACAAAACAUUUUUACUCAAAUAUAUUAUUGCAGUGGCCACUUAACAUUUUUUUGAGAAAAAAUCAUUUUCAAGUCUCGCAUUUAGUGAUCAUGUAGAGUAGUGUGCUGUGUGUCGAAAAUAACGAAAUCUUAAAGUAAAUCUAAGAGAUGCUAAUCUUCUCAGCCAUCCACUUUUACUUUUAGAAAGCUUAUAAGGCUUUCAAAAUAAUAAAAUAAUAAGAACUACUUAAAAAACAGAGUUUCAAAAGAAGAUUGGUAACUACAUAUUUACGCAAAGGAUUGUGGGAAUGAAUUUAAAAAGUUCCGCCAUCUUGUAUCUCAUAUUGCACAACACAAGGUAUUUACCGCCUUUGAAAUAUCAAAAAGUCGACGUUUUGAAAAUAAUGAUGAUAGCAAUAAGUAUAUUCACAUAAUCCGAAGCCUUAAAUAUCGAAUUCUAUCGUAAAUAUAAAGUGAAGUCUAUUCAAGAAAAAAAAAUCAGUGCAAGGAUCUUUCACCUUGCCGAUACAAUCUAGGUUAACCAUCUCUGUAAUACAUGGAAGUAACACCCUCAAGUUUUGCAUAAAGUUUUCUAUAAUUUCCUACCGAGA